AUCUGGCACAAAUGUCCACUUGGACUCAAGGAUAAACUGAUUAGAAUUUGGUGGUCAAAGGUCAAAGGUGCUGUGAGCUCAAGUU